GCUACGCGUGUUACCUCAGUACCUAGGCUGGGGUUUUUCGAAAGUCAGGUACCUGAAGUAGCGCGCGCAGC
ncrna:Tribolium castaneum (red flour beetle) microRNA tca-mir-275 precursor